CGGUGAACACGGAGCUUGCUCUGUGGGAUCAGUGGCGAACGGGUGAGUAACACGUGAGCAACCUGCCCCUGACUCUGGGAUAAGCGCUGGAAACGGCGUCUAAUACUGGAUAUGUGACGUGACCGCAUGGUCUGUGUCUGGAAAGAUUUUUCGGUUGGGGAUGGGCUCGCGGCCUAUCAGCUUGUUGGUGAGGUAAUGGCUCACCAAGGCGUCGACGGGUAGCCGGCCUGAGAGGGUGACCGGCCACACUGGGACUGAGACACGGCCCAGACUCCUACGGGAGGCAGCAGUGGGGAAUAUUGCACAAUGGGCGCAAGCCUGAUGCAGCAACGCCGCGUGAGGGAUGACGGCCUUCGGGUUGUAAACCUCUUUUAGCAGGGAAGAAGCGAAAGUGACGGUACCUGCAGAAAAAGCGCCGGCUAACUACGUGCCAGCAGCCGCGGUAAUACGUAGGGCGCAAGCGUUAUCCGGAAUUAUUGGGCGUAAAGAGCUCGUAGGCGGUUUGUCGCGUCUGCUGUGAAAUCCCGAGGCUCAACCUCGGGCCUGCAGUGGGUACGGGCAGACUAGAGUGCGGUAGGGGAGAUUGGAAUUCCUGGUGUAGCGGUGGAA
rnacentral:rRNA from 1 species